rnacentral:misc_RNA from 1 species
AAGUCGUAACAAGGUCUCCGUAGGUGAACCUGCGGAGGGAUCAUUAACACAAUAUACAAAGUAGAUCGUUGACUUCAAAAGUUAACUUUCUCACUUUUGUUAUACCAACUCGUGAACGAAACAUUAUGUAUCUCUCGCUUAGCUUUGUAAUAUAAGCUAAGUUAUGUUUUUAUUGUAUUUUCUUUAUACAAACUAACAUCUUCAACAGUAUAACUUGUACCACAUAGAAUGCAUUCUUAGAGUGUACUUUUAUGGUGUGUUACUUUUAGUUAACAAAAUAAGCACAACUCUUAGCAACGGAUAUCUCGGUUCUC